UUGGGAAACCCUUCUAACUGGCUGCUGUUUACGUCCCGAGGCCUGUGAAAGAAGAGAAUAGGACAGUGAUGACAUAAUUGAGAUUGAGUUUUUUUUUUCUACUGCUGUUUUACUGAAUUAUGGGGGUGAGGAGGCAGCACAGUGAUGUGCUGCUGUGUGCUGCAGGCUGGCUCAGGACAGGCUGAUCCUUCUGUGCACCCUACUUGCCCGUGAAAGGGAAGGGGUGGGUUAUGGAGUCAGGUAGGAGCUUUAUUUUUUUCCCUGGGUGUAUCUGAAAGGUAGUACUUAAUCCAGUAGCUUCACAUCUAAAAGCCAGACAGCAGAAAGGACCUUGCCUUAUUCCUGCGGAGAGCAGGUUACAGAACGAUUCCCACCUACCUUUGAUUCUGCAGAAUGGCUCCCAGGAAGUCCCUCAGUACCAUCCGCUGGUGGUAGCGGCUGUCCAUCAGGAUGCUGUCGGACUGGCGCCUCGUCAGAAGCUCGUGCACCCCUUCUUCUGGGCUGCUCUCACUGUUUCUGUGAUGCGAAGAUGAGAACCGUCUUUGUUUCAGAGGUUUUUUGCAAAGAUGCAAUAAUUUCUGUGGAAAGCAAGCAAAAUGAGAUGAGAAAGACAAGGCUUGACCUGUGUUACCAGUUACUUCUACGGAAGAAAUGGAGAACCCAAAUCCCAAACGCAGCAGUUAGUGCCAGUUUUGUUGGCAGAGAGAAGGGAAGAGCUUUAACCUGGAAGGCGUACAGUACUGGCCGGGAGCCGUGUGUGUGCUUUCCCCUCUGCCUGCAACCUUCAAACCCUGAGGAUCGGUGCCCGUGAGGAGGUGUACGUGGACAGCAGCACCACCCAGCUCAGCGUACUGGUAGUAUGGAAAUCAUUUAACCUGGUCAUUUAAGCCACACUGAUAGGAUCUCUCCUGACAUUCGCUUUCACAAGUUAUUUCUCCAUCCUCAGUGGUUUUGUAUCCUUGAUGCUCUGUGUUCAGGACCUAAAAGGGCAGGGUUUAUUGCUGUUCCUGAGCUCUGGGUUUAUCCCUUGGCCAUCACAGGUAGUGAAAGCUUUGAUCAUUAUUUAAGAGUAAUUUUUUCUUAAUUUUUCAAGCCAGAAAAAUUGCUUUGUA